AGAAGACAGCGGGGGAGCUUUAGCUGAGAUAGUUUUAGAACUAGACCCUUUGUACCUGAUCUAAUUAAUAUUAGCGUAGGGAGUUUGUUUGAUUUUAAAU
rnacentral:ncRNA from 2 species